rnacentral:lncRNA from 1 species
GUAUUAGUAGUCCACGAUGGGUAUUAGUAGUCCACGAUGGAUAUUAGUAGUCCACGAGGGGUGCUAGUAGUCCACGAGGGGUGUUAGUAGUCCACGAUGGGUAUUAGUAGUCCACGAGGGGUGUUAGUAGUCCACGAGGGGUGUUAGUAGUCCAUGAUGGGUAUUACUAGUCCACGAGGGGUGCUAGUAGUCCACGAGGGGUGUUAGUAGUCCACGAGGGGUGCUAGUAGUCCACGAGGGGUAUUAGUAGUCCAUGAUGGGUAUUAGUAGUCCACGAGGGGUGCUAGUAGUCAUUGAUGGAUAUUAGUAGUCCACGAUGGGUGUUAGUAGUCCACGAGGGGUGUUAGUAGUCCAUGAUGGGUAUUAGUAGUCCACGAGGGGUAUUAGUAGUCCACGAGGGGUGUUAGUAGUCCACGAGGGGUGUUAGUAGUCCAUGAUGGGUGUUAGUAGUCCACGAUGGGUAUUAGUAGUCCACGAUGGAUAUUGGUAGUCCAUGAGGGGUGCUAGUAGUCCACGAUGGAUAUUAGUAGUCCACGAGGGGUGCUAGUAGUCCACGAGGGGUGUUAGUAGUCCAUGAUGGGUAUUAGUAGUCCACGAGGGGUGCUAGUAGUCCACGAGGGGUGUUAGUAGUCCACGAGGGGUGUUAGUAGUCCACGAGGGGUGUUAGUAGUCCACAAGGGGUGUUAGUAGUCCACGAGGGGUGCUAGUAGUCCACGAGGGGUGUUAGUAGUCCACGAGGGGUGUUAGUAGUCCACGAGGGGUGUUAGUAGUCCACGAGGGGUGUUAGUAGUCCACGAUGGAUAUUAGUAGUCCAUGAUGGGUAUUAGUAGUCCACGAGGGGUGCUAGUAGUCCAUGAUGGGUAUUAGUAGUCCACGAGGGGUGUUAGUAGUCCAUGAUGGGUGCUAGUAGUCCAUGAUGGGUAUUAGUAGUCCAUGAUGGGUGUUAGUAGCCCACGAUGGAUGUUAGUAGUCCACGAGGGGUGUUAGUAGUCCACGAGGGGUGCUAGUAGUCCAUGAUGGGUAUUAGUAGUCCACGAGGGGUGUUAGUAGUCCACGAGGGGUGUUAGUAGUCCACGAGGGGUGUUAGUAGGGGUGUUAGUAGUCCACGAGGGGUGUUAGUAGUCCACGAGGGGUGUUAGUAGUCCACGAGGGGUGUUAGUAGUCCAUGAUGGAUAUUAGUAGUCCACGAGGGGUGUUAGUAGUCCACAAGGGGUGCUAGUAGUCCAUGAUGGACAUGAACCCAGCUAACAAUUCUAGGGAGAAAUAACGUUUUUAUAAUGUUCCCCGCAAUGUUCCCCUUUUGUUUGAGUGUCCAGUUCUCUGUUAGUUAGGGGAAAAUUCUAUCUAUGUUAACAGAAACCUUCUGAGAACCUUUAUAGAAUGUUUUGGUGUUACAAUUUGACAUGAACAUUCCCUUAAUGUAAAACAGAACUUAUCAAGAACAUGGUUACAAUGUUCUCAGAAUGUACAAUAUUUAUGUUCUAGAAACGUUUCAUGUGUAUCAGUUGUCGCCAUUCCCAAAGAAAUGUCUCCCCCCCAAAAAAUAAAAUUCAUUACACAUCACACCUUGUUACUGUUGCCACGCCCAUCAAGGCCCUGAUUGGCAAAGCACUGACGCAUUCAUAGCUCUUUGCCUGUCGGUUAGCGACACUCACACACAGUUCUUUUGACAUACAGUAUUUUCAACUGACAUAUUCGACAUACAUGAUUACAUUCUGCAUUUUUAUUUAUCCGAAAAUGAUUGUUCAACAUGUCCUCUCCUGGGAUUUGAAAUCACAACUGCUUGGUUUGCAGGACUCCGAUGUUCCUGCUACGCCACCAUGUCUGUGUAAGUUGUCAGUUCAUUUGACUGUAAUUACGCUGUGUGAUUAAGAACUUCCUGGACAUUGUGGAGAUGCAUAAUAUAUCUUAUUUACUUUUUAUUUCGAGAAUCAGCUUUAAUUUAAGGCCACUUGAAGUGCAAAUGCCGAACAAUUGUGGUAAAUCUCUGGUAAUGCUCCAAAGCCUCUUGGGACAGCUUUAUGUAGAGGCCCUAACAGCUUUAUGUAGAGGCCCUAACAGCUUUAUGUAGAGGCCCUAACAGCUUUAUGUAGAGACCCUAACAGCUUUAUGUAGAGGCCCUAACAGCUUUAUGUAGAGGCCCUAACAGCUUUAUGUAGAGGCCCUAACAGCUUUAUGUAGAGGCCCUAACAGCUUAAUGUAGAGGCCCUAACAGCUUUAUGUAGAGGCCCUAACAGCUUUAUGUAGAGGCCCUAACAGCUUUAUGGAGGCCCUAACAGCUUUAUGUAGAGACCCUAACAGCUUUAUGUAGAGGCCCUAACAGCUUUAUGUAGAGGCCCUAAAAGCUUUAUGUAGAGGCCCUAACAGCUUUAUGUAGAGGCCCUAACAGUUUUAUGUAGAGGCCCUAACAGCUUUAUGUAGAGGCCCUAACAGCUUUAUGUAGAGGCCCUAACAGCUUAAUGUAGAGGCCCUAACAGCUUUAUGUAGAGGCCCUAACAGCUUUAUGUAGAGGCCCUAACAGUUUGUCACCAUUAUAGUGUAAUUCAUGUAUUGUUUAGUGUUGUGUUGUGUAGUGGCUUUGCUGGCAUGCAUCUAAAACAUUUUUGGGGAGUUUGCCCCACCAAGAUUUACACUGAUUUAGCAUGUAUAUUAAACUAUGGUGAAUCGCUGUAUGGUAAUGUUUCAAUGCUGUAUGUCCCAUCAGUGCCACGUCUGUUUGGAGCCCCACCUGUUUAGCAAAACAAUAUAUAUGUUUUGCCUUUUUUUUAAUGUUAUUUUAUCACAUAUCAGUUUGCAAACAAUGUACAAAAAAAAAAGUUAAUAAAGAC